AGGCCACUAACAUUUUGGGAGACGACACUGCAAUAAAUAUGACAUUAAUGGCCGUGUCUUAAAACUUGGCUGUCUGAGCAGAUAAGUACUUAAAAUGGGGGGUUACUGACCACUGUGUCAUUGCAAUGUCACAAACCAUGAAGUUACACUAGCAAUGAAGGCAGACAAUGUCAGCGCAAAUGUCAUCAGUCAGGGUGGCGGCUGUACUGCUGAGGAGCUGACAAACCUACUGACAAGGCAUUUAGAAGGAUGGCACAUUAAGAUUUCACUUAGGAAAGGAGGAGGAAAUAGUUCAAAAUUUGAUUGUGCAAACCUGGUUUGUAGUCUGGCCUGAAACUGUGCUGUAAGAAGGAAGCUGUAUCCAUUCUGAUAGCUACUCACUCGGGUUCAUGGGCCAUCUCAGAAUGUUAUUUAAUUCUGUUUGGCAGCUGCCACCUGCUGCGUCAUUGUGAGUGACUCAGGUGAGUGGGCACAUAUGAUCAAGAUUAAUACCAGCUGCUGCCCACUAUGACUGAUGCCUCGUCUGUUUUGAAAUGCUUUUUUAACCUUUAUUCAUAAAGAGGGUUAACUUCACCUGCUUAUGAUGAUUCUCUGAUGAAUUUUUUGUUGGCGUCUGUCUGUCUCGAGAGACCAUGGAUUCUGCCUCCAGGGGUGAAGCCAAACCGCUGGAGAAUCGCAACACCCGCAGUGGCUGCAGAAACUGGUAACUCAUAACUGCUGCCUCCCAUGUUGUUUUUGCUGCAUUAGCAUCAAUGUGAUCUUUCAAGGGGUGCAAGCCUGGGCUGUGUGUAUGGGCUACCCAGAUGACAACACCUCCCACCCGGCCUCACUAAUGUGGUUCAAAGGAAAGCAGAGCAAUACAUUUGGCCCCAGCUUGGCUGUGGGAGUUGCUGGAAGGAGGAGUACAAUAACCUGACUAAAUGCAUAAGUUAAAACAAGAAAGCAGCUGAGUUGAGGCAGAAAAAGCCCACAGAGCCAUACAAGUUGUCUGUUCUUGGCUACGAAUUUUGGAGAUCUAAAAAUCCCUUUGUUCAUUUCCCUCUAGCUAACGGAUUCAUUGCUUAAGAUUCAUCCUUUGAGUUGUUAACAUAUGAGAAAAGCUGAUGGGCUCUUCAUAUUGUAUCUGAUUUGUUCAGAAGGGACCUUAUUAAGAUGUGCACCUAAACUGAGAUAACUCCCACUGUCUGAAUAUAUUGAGUGUUUUGAAGUUCACCAGGUUUCCUGAAGUCAUCCAUAUUGCUGGUUCUCAGGCAGUACCACAUAGGUACUAGUAAAUUCCAAGCCAUUUAAAUUCUGUAGCAAACUUGCACACUUUUGAUGCACAGAGUUGAACCCAAUUUUCUGUAUAUGGCAACUGACAUGGGGCUGGACAAACUACAUAUUUUCUGCUGACUUUCCUAGGAUAGUUCAGUGAGCUGUGUUCAUCUUGGUAGGUUAGAAUUGUGUAAGGGUGCUCUCAUAGCAAUGAAAAGAGGAGAGUCACCAUAAAAAAUUCAUAGACAAAGUGGGCUGCUGAGAGUGGAUUUGGGACCCAGUGAAAAAAGAAAAGUAAACCCCACCCAGCAAGGGUAAACCAGCUAAAAAUCCUUACUCUGGGAUAUAAAAUAAAUGUGUGAUCUCAUUUUUAUGUUAAUAAUAAGAUAGUAUUUGUACCUGUUGGGGAUAUUAAGAUCCCAAUGGUGAAUGUCAAUAAUACAGUGGAACCUCGGUUUUCGAACAUAAUCCAUUCCAGAAGACCGUUUGACUUCUGAAACAUUCAGAAACUGAGGAUCAAUGAGCGGUCGGCAAAAUCCAUUGAAAAAAUGGAGAAACACUCCUUGGAAGCCAUUCAACUUCCAAGGCACGUUCAAAAACAGAAGCAAUUACUUCUGGGUUUGCGGCGUUUGGGAUCCGAAUCAUUCGGCUUCUGAGAUACUCAAAAACUGAGGUUCCAUAAGCACCCAGACGAUUGUUGCUGAACUAACUGUACACUUUAAACUUGUAUGUGUAGCACCACAAUAAUGUGUACCACUCAACAAUUUUGUUGCAGUCACAUGGUGUUCACUUGCUAAAACAUACAAAGAUGAUAAGACGACACUGCAAUGUUGUACUGUCAAAGUGCAAAAGCGAAUGUUUGUGUAGAGUUGUGAAUUCUCGGAAAUGCUCGGUGCAUGCCAUAAGCUUGCAAACCGUUAUUCAUAAUUGUAUGUGCAUUGAACAUGAAAGACAUAUUUUGUAAAGAAUUACAUGAUAGCUGCAAGAUAAUUGGUCGCUGGGGCCCCACUCAGAGCACCAAACCCCAGUAAUUUAUACCAGCUCUCCCACCCUAUCUUGUCAGUCCUGUAUAUUUUAAAGGCCAUACAUUGUUUAUUCAGCUGAAGAGGGACAGUUUCUCCUGGUGCCUAAAAAUAGGUCAUAAAGGCAUCAUACAAGCCUCCCUGAGGAGAGCAUUGCACAAAUGGGAAGCCACCACAGAAAAGGCCUGUUCUUGUGUUGCUAACCUCCAGACUAUCAGCCCCGUGCCACUCAAAGCUGUUCUAAUUUGCCAUCCAUUUACUUUGCCCAUUGAGCUUGCCGGAAGCCACCAAGAACCCAAAUGAACAUUGGCAUUGUUUUCGCCGUCCCUCGUCCCCCUUGCAUCCAUUUGCACUUAUCAAUGUGGAUUAUCAUUGGAUACUGGAGAGAAAAUGCUGGUCCCAGUAUGUGCUUAUUAAUCACCUCUCCCUUUAAAGAUGUGUCUGUAUAAAAAUAGCAGUGAUAAGAACUCGGAGGAAUGACAAGAGCAAGGGCUAUUACUCCAGUGAAUAGUGUUAUGCUGUUAGACAUCCUUUGGCUUCUGAAAAUGUGAUGUGAUUUAUCUCCCUUUGUUUUUGCAGACCUUUUAAAAGUGAAAGCAUUCCUAUCACAUAAUGUCCAUGUUCCAGGAGCCCAGGAAUCCAUUUUCACCUAAAUAGGACCAUAUGUAGUCCAGAGGCACAUUUUCUGAACCUGUUAAUGCGCUGUCUGACAGAAGAGAGGCCAGAGAAGUGUGGAUUCCAAUAUCUACUUUUCGAUUUCUGCACUAUUGUUCUACAGAAAUUAGUAUUGCCUCUUUUUAGCUUCUCGGGGGAGAGGGGGGAGUUAUGUCCAACUGUCAAGCUGUUCGC